rnacentral:rRNA from 1 species
UACGUAGGGUGCGAGCGUUAAUCGGAAUUACUGGGCGUAAAGCGUGCGCAGGCGGUUUUGUAAGCCAGAUGUGAAAUCCCCGGGCUUAACCUGGGAAUGGCAUUUGGGACUGCAAGGCUCGAGUGCGGCAGAGGAGACUGGAAUUCCUGGUGAGCAGUGAAAUGCGCAGAUAUCAGGAGGAACACCGGUGGCGAAGGCGGGUCUCUGGGCCACUACUGACGCUGAGAAGCGAAAGCGUGGGGAGCGAACAGG